rnacentral:rRNA from 1 species
UACGGAGGGUGCAAGCGUUAUCCGGAUUCACUGGGUUUAAAGGGUGCGUAGGUGGGCAAGUAAGUCAGUGGUGAAAUCUCCGGGCUUAACCCGGAAACUGCCAUUGAUACUAUUUGUCUUGAAUACUGUGGAGGUCAGCGGAAUAUGUUAUGUAGCGGUGAAAUGCUUAGAUAUGACAUAGAACACCAAUUGCGAAGGCAGCUGGCUACACAAAUAUUGACACUGAGGCACGAAAGCGUGGGGAUCAAACAGG